UUCACAAAAUGUUGCCAUCCAAGGUCUGGGU
rnacentral:piRNA from 1 species